rnacentral:rRNA from 1 species
UACGAAGGGGGCUAGCGUUGCUCGGAAUCACUGGGCGUAAAGGGUGCGUAGGCGGGUCUUAAGUCAGGGGUGAAAUCCUGGAGCUCAACUCCAGAACUGCCUUUGAUACUGAAGAUCUUGAGUUCGGGAGAGGUGAGUGGAACUGCGAGUGUAGAGGUGAAAUUCGUAGAUAUUCGGAAGAACACCGGUGGCGAAGGCGGCUCACUGGCUCGUAUCUGACGCUCAGGCGCGACAGGCGUGGGGAUCAAACAGG